CGGGCUGGAACCUCUCGGGGUUACAGCCUUGCUGAAUUAUUCACCCUUGUCUUUUGCGUACUUCUUGUUUCCUUGGUGGGUUCGCCCACCACUAGGACAAACAUAAACCUUUUGUAAUUGCAAUCAGCGUCAGUAACAAAUUAAUAAUUACAACUUUCAACAACGGAUCUCUUGGUUCUGGCAUCGAUGAAGAACGCAGCGAAAUGCGAUAAGUAGUGUGAAUUGCAGAAUUCAGUGAAUCAUCGAAUCUUUGAACGCACAUUGCGCCCUUUGGUAUUCCAAAGGGCAUGCCUGUUCGAGCGUCAUUUGUACCCUCAAGCUUUGCUUGGUGUUGGGCGUCUUGUCUCUAGCUUUGCUGGAGACUCGCCUUAAAGUAAUUGGCAGCCGGCCUACUGGUUUCGGAGCGCAGCACAAGUCGCACUCUCUAUCAGCAAAGGUCUAGCAUCCAUUAAGCCUUUUUUUCAACUUUUGACCUCGGAUCAGGUAGGGAUACCCGCUGAACUUAA
rnacentral:rRNA from 1 species